CGUCCCGCCGACCCCUGUCCAGCUUCAAAGGAAACCUUUGGGACGCCUCCGCUCGCCCUCCUGCAGAAACAGCCCGGCACCCGCCCUGCCUAAAAACGUUCUGUUGUGUUCCCUUUCAGGCCAGUUUUUGUGUCAGCGAGUAACUUUUUUUGUAGCAACAGCAUGUUACCUGAUUUGUAGUGCCUGUUGUAGGCACCGCGAGCCUGUAUAAAUACACAAGGGGACACCCCCCCCCAACUUUAACCAUCUCUCAGGAGCUACGGGAGAUCAUUUAUAUUGGAAGGCAUAACGCUAAACUCUGGACAUUGUUUGCAAUCAAGGAACUCAAGGUUAGAGAGGAGGGCAGGUCUACAAAUAUUCAGUUAUCAUGGAGCAAUUAAGUGCAAAAAUAGAAUUAUAUCCAACUACAGAUUUAGAAUUACUAUUUGUCUGUCAUACUUUGAUGGCUUGCAUGUUGCUGUGAUGCUGAAAUUUAAGCUACUGGUAUUUGAAAUACCAGCAGGGUCACCCAUGGUGGACAGGUUUCAGCAGAGCUUCUAGACUAAGACAGACUAGGAAGAAGAACCUAGUGCUCUACUUCUGAAAAAACUGGCCAGUGAAAACCUUACAGAUAGCAGCAGAACAUUGUCUGAUACAGUGCUGGAAGAUGAGUCCCUCAGGUUGGAAGGCACUCAAAAUAUAACUGGGGAAGAGCUGCCUCCUCAAAGUAGAGUCAACCAAAGUGACAUAGAUGUCACUUAGAUGUGACAUAGCUUUCAGAGCAUUCAUAUGCUGAUGGCACAUGGCUCAAAAUGACAAAACAGAGCUAUAAGCAUCCAUUAGUAAUCGGAACGUGAACUGUACAAAGUAUGAAUCAAGGAAAACUGGAAGCUGUCAGAAAUGAAAUGGAAUGCUUGAAGAUUGGUAUCCUAGACAUUAGUGAGCUGAAAUGGAUUGGUAUUGACCAUUUCAAACUGGACAGUCAUAUGGUCUGCCGUGCUGGGAAUGACAAAUUGAAGAGGAACAGCAUCACAUUCGUUGUGAAAAAACAUUUCAUGCUCUAUCUUGGAGUAAAACACUCUCAAUGAGAGGAUAAUAUCCAUAUGCCUAUACGGAAGACUCAUUACUAAGACUAUUAUUCAAAUUUAUGCACCAACCACUAAUGCCAAAGAUGAAGAAAUUGAAGGGCAUCCUGAAAUUGCUCAAACAUACAGUCAAGAUGAAGUGAUAAUUGGUGAUUCAAAAGGGAAGGUUGGAAACAAGGAGGAUUAGUAGUUGGAAAUUAAGGCCGUGGUGAUAGAAAUGAUGCUGGAGAUCAUAUGAUAGAAUUUUGUAAGACCGACAACUUAUUCGUUGGAAAUACCUUCUUUCAGCAACAUAAAUUGCAGCUAUACACAUGGACCUGGUGGAAUGGAAUAUACAGGAAUCAGAUCAGCUAUAUCUGUGGAAAGAGAUGAUGGAGAAGUUUAGUGUCAUUAGUCAGAACAAGUGCAAGGGCUGACUGGAACAGACUAUCAAUUGCUAAUAUGUGAGUUCAAGCUGAAGCUGAAGACAAUAAACAGAUCCAUGAGA